GACGAACGCUGGCGGCGUGCUUAACACAUGCAAGUCGAACGGAAAGGCCCUGCUUUUGUGGGGUGCUCGAGUGGCGAACGGGUGAGUAACACGUGAGUAACCUGCCCUUGACUUUGGGAUAACUUCAGGAAACUGGGGCUAAUACCGGAUAGGAGCUCCUGCUGCAUGGUGGGGGUUGGAAAGUUUCGGCGGUUGGGGAUGGACUCGCGGCUUAUCAGCUUGUUGGUGGGGUAGUGGCUUACCAAGGCUUUGACGGGUAGCCGGCCUGAGAGGGUGACCGGCCACAUUGGGACUGAGAUACGGCCCAGACUCCUACGGGAGGCAGAAGUGGGGAAUAUUGCACAAUGGGCGGAAGCGUGAUGCAGCAACGCCGCGUGCGGGAUGACGGCCUUCGGGUUGUAAACCGCUUUCGCCUGUGACGAAGCGUGAGUGACGGUAAUGGGUAAAGAAGCACCGGCUAACUACGUG
rnacentral:rRNA from 1 species